rnacentral:lncRNA from 1 species
GCCACAUAUGAGGAGGCUAUAUGGGAGUUGAUGAUGCACUAUGUUAUGUUUAGUACAAGUAACAUAGGCUAUGAUUCUAGUUAUCAUUUAAUUUUGUGGGCGUAUGCACCUAUGCGAGAGGGGUGCAUGUAAGUUCAUUUUGUACAUGCAUUUGUAUAUUUUAAUAUGCAUGCACCUAAAUAGAGCUCAUGCUUUGAUUUUAAUUUAUAUGGGAUUAUCCUUUUGCAUCUUACCCAUACUAGUUCUUCAUUAUAUCAUAUAGGACUAGUGUGAUUUUAGAUUUCAGAUUCAUGAGAAUAUUCUAUAAAGUUUGGCUUCACUUGUAUUAGUACUAGCAUCAUGUAGCAACAUUGUGCCCAUGUGUAGCCUAAUCAAGAGGAGUUUGGUGAUUUUUUCUUGCUUGUAUUAUCACCAGCAAAGCAUAGAGUAUAUACUUGUGGUGUAACCAAACUUGAAGCAAAUGUCAAUUUAUAAGCAUGUGACAUUUACAUUGCAUAUAUGCAUGGACUUUGCGGUGUAAUAUGAUUCCAACACCUACGUUGAUGCACUAGUUUUAUAUGGGGACUCGUGACAUGUCCAUAUGGGUAUUUUGAUUAAGUUUCACUUCACCCGUAUUAUCACUAGCACCGUGUAACAAUAUGUUCAC